UAAUAAUAAUAAUGAUGAUGAUGAUGAUGAUGAUGAUGAUGACGAUGAUGAUGAUGAUGAUCAUCAUCAUCAUCAUCAUCAUCAUCGUAGUAG
rnacentral:pre_miRNA from 1 species